AUGUGGAGAGCCGACGACGGUGAUGGUGUUGACAAAUGGAUGCCACACAAGGUUUUCCCACUGAAUACGUUUAUCGAUGUCACUAUGUGUUCGAAAGAGUACAUCGUUAAUGUAGAUUUUGUGGCGGUGAUCGAUGGGUUUGCGUUCCUGUCUAUUGAUUAUGCUAUAUACAGUGAGUGCCUCAUAUCCUUCUGCCCGGAAACAGAGAAUGUAAACAAGCUCUUCAGUCAUACAUUGGACUGCAAUAUCCACCCCUACAUCAUGGCAUGGCCUCCUUCUUUGGUAGGCAACAAGGAGGAUUUAGAAACCAAAGUUACUGGAGACAAUUUGGUGGAUGAUGGUCCUGUGGUCACCGAAGAAACUCCCUCUGUUCUUGUCACCGCAUUGCGGUCAUAUAAGGAAGCUCUGAUUAAUGGCAAUGGGGCAAAAGUUGCAGAGAUAGAGGCAUUUCUACUAUUUAUCGAGGGCGAGAAGAAGUCUCUAGUUGCAGAAUAG
rnacentral:rRNA from 1 species